ACCACUGCUUUUUCUUAGAAGACUCUAAGAAGGCCCUAAAUCUGUACUAGGUUUAGGGCUUUUUUCUU
rnacentral:sRNA from 1 species